rnacentral:rRNA from 1 species
GUCUUAUUGAUAAUAAUUUUAAGUCAAUCUGCCCAAUGAAAAUUUUUAAUGGCUGCAGUAUAACUGACUGUACAAAGGUAGCAUAAUCAAUUGGUUUUUAAAUGAAAUCUGGAAUGAAAGGAUUAAUGAAAUAUGUACUGUCUCAUGUGUAUAAUUAUGAAUUUAAAAUUUUAAUAAAAAUGUUAAAAUUUACUUAUGGGACGAUAAGACCCUAUAGAAUUUUAUAUUGAAACUUCUCAGUAGUUAAUACAGAAAAAGUCUCAAUAUUUGGUUGGGAGGACCAUUAAAUUUAAUUAACUUUAAUUUAGAUUAACUUUGAUUUAAGAAUAAAUAAUGAUCUUCAACUUGAAAUUAAUAGAAUAAAUUACCUUAGGGAUAACAGCGUAAUACUUUUCUAUAGGCCACAUAGAAAAAAGUGAUUGCGACCUCGAUGUUGAAUUAGGAUAAAUUUUAAACGCAGGAGUUUAAUAAUUAAGUCUGUUCGACUUUUAACAAUCCUACAUGAUUUGAGUUCAAAUCGACGUAAGU